UACGUAGGGGGCUAGCGUUGUCCGGAUUUAUUGGGCGUAAAGAGCGUGUAGGCGGCCAGAUAGGUCUGCUGUGAAAACUCGAGGCUCAACCUCGAGAUGUCGGCGGAAACCAUUUGGCUAGAGUCCGGAAGAGGAAAGUGGAAUUCCUGGUGUAGCGGUGAAAUGCGCAGAUAUCAGGAGGAACACCGGUGGCGAAGGCGGGUCUCUGGGCCGAUACUGACGCUGAGGAGCGAAGGCGUGGGGAGCGAACAGG
rnacentral:rRNA from 1 species